rnacentral:SRP_RNA from 1 species
GUCUGGCUGCAUGCCUUCGGGUAUGCAGCUGUAACUUAUGAGACGCGCAAAUUUAUUUGCAAAAAUCAUGGGAUGCUACAAUGUGGAGAGGAUAUUCCAAUGCCUAACGUCCGUUCCCGUCUAUUGCAAGACACCAGUUACUGAAUGUGUUCUGUUGGAAAGAGAACAUAUUGAAGUAAUAAUGAACUGCAAACCGCCUCAGGCUGGAAACAGAGCAGGGUCAGUGGUCGCUGGUGUACGGUGCGAAGAUUACGGUUGAGCGGGCCAGGUGUCUGAAUCUCUCUUGCAGGGUAUGUGCACCA